rnacentral:rRNA from 1 species
AUGAGCCAAAUACAAGGUGAAGAGGUGACAUACCUAAGCUUGGACACUGUAUGCAAGGCAACAACAAAUUACAACACAAUGGAGAAUAUGUGUUCAACAGAGUUCCUUAACAAAUUGACCUUCCCAGGAAUUCCAAACCACGAGCUAAAACUGAAGGUAGGCUUGCCGGUUAUGCUCCUACGCAACAUCAAUCAAGCGGCAGGUUUAUCCAAUGGUACAAGAAUGACUAUCACACAGCUGGGAAACAGGUACAUUGAGGCACAAACAAUCACAGGAACACACGUCGGUGACAAGGUAUACAUACCUAAAAUCAUUAUGUCACCAAGCGACUCGAAGUGGCCCUUCGUGCUGAAAAGAAGGCAAUGUCCUCUAUCAGUUUGUUUUGCAAUGACCAUAAAUAAAAGCCAAGGUCAAUCCCUAGACAAGGUGGGUCUAUAUUUGCCUAAGCAAGUCUUCUGCCAUGGCCAACUAUAUGUGGCAUUAUCAAGAGUCACAAACAGAGAAGGAUUAAAGGUGCUGAUUGACGACACGGAGUGCCCAAGCGAAGAUAGCGCAAAGAAUAUAGUAUACAAAGAGAUCUUCUAA